UACGAACUGUGCGAACGUUAUUCGGAAUCACUGGGCUUACAGGGUGCGUAGGUGGCCGGACAAGUCAGGUGUGAAAUCCCUCAGCUCAACUGAGGAACUGCGCUUGAAACUGUUUGGCUAGAGUGAGCUAGGGGUGAUUGGAACUGCCAGUGGAGCGGUGAAAUGUGUUGAUAUUGGCAGGAACACCGGAGCCGAAAGGGAAGCACUGGGGCUUAACUGACACUGAGGCACGAAAGCCAGGGGAGCAAACGGG
rnacentral:rRNA from 1 species